rnacentral:rRNA from 1 species
UAAUACAUGCAAGUCGAGCGGACAGAUGGGAGCUUGCUCCCUGAUGUUAGCGGCGGACGGGUGAGUAACACGUGGGUAACCUGCCUGUAAGACUGGGAUAACUCCGGGAAACCGGGGCUAAUACCGGAUGGUUGUCUGAACCGCAUGGUUCAGACAUAAAAGGUGGCUUCGGCUACCACUUACAGAUGGACCCGCGGCGCAUUAGCUAGUUGGUGAGGUAACGGCUCACCAAGGCGACGAUGCGUAGCCGACCUGAGAGGGUGAUCGGCCACACUGGGACUGAGACACGGCCCAGACUCCUACGGGAGGCAGCAGUAGGGAAUCUUCCGCAAUGGACGAAAGUCUGACGGAGCAACGCCGCGUGAGUGAUGAAGGUUUUCGGAUCGUAAAGCUCUGUUGUUAGGGAAGAACAAGUGCCGUUCAAAUAGGGCGGCACCUUGACGGUACCUAACCAGAAAGCCACGGCUAACUACGUGCCAGCAGCCGCGGUAAUACGUAGGUGGCAAGCGUUGUCCGGAAUUAUUGGGCGUAAAGGGCUCGCAGGCGGUUUCUUAAGUCUGAUGUGAAAGCCCCCGGCUCAACCGGGGAGGGUCAUUGGAAACUGGGGAACUUGAGUGCAGAAGAGGAGAGUGGAAUUCCACGUGUAGCGGUGAAAUGCGUAGAGAUGUGGAGGAACACCAGUGGCGAAGGCGACUCUCUGGUCUGUAACUGACGCUGAGGAGCGAAAGCGUGGGGAGCGAACAGGAUUAGAUACCCUGGUAGUCCACGCCGUAAACGAUGAGUGCUAAGUGUUAGGGGGUU